UGUACACCGGUGGAGACGUCUUACGCCAAACAAAUAAAAAAAAAAAAAAAAAAAAAAAAAAAAAAAAAAAAAAAAUGUAGGCGGAUGGAGACGUCCUAUGACAUAUGUUAUGAAUGUUCGUGUGACGCCCCAAAGCCAUAAGUAGACUAAAUAAUUGGACCUGAUAUUAUGAUUUCGUCUCACGAUGAGUCGUAAUAAACAACGUAACCCAUACGACAACAACAAAUUUGUUAACCAUAACUAUAACAAUAUAAAGUUAUCUAGGUUUACUGUGGAAGUACCUAGACUACAUAAGUAUCUCUCUGUUAUCACAGAAAACAAUGCAGAGCACGCAUCAGUAUAACCGUAUCGGCAUGACUUCGGACGAUGAAGCAUCAAUUCUUGAACCUGGCCCAUCUACUCUACGAGACCUGCAACGGGUACGAGAACAUAACGAAAGCUAAGCAAGAGAGAACACAUCACCAGGCAGGUGCAGAGCACGCACCGCCUGCCAGAAUGGCCGUAUCGGCGCAAGCAGCUUCAACGACGGAUGCAACAUGGAAAUAACUGGCACCAAUUAUUAUAACACCUUAUUGGUCGUCGUUACUAUUGUUAAAAGGACUGCAGAGUUCAGCGAGUGCGGAGCAUAAAGAACCUUCGAGAAAUACAAGAACAUUUAGAAGAAUUGAAGUUUCAUUCUAAAAUAUCUGGAACUUACUGAAACAAGUGACAUUAGAGACGUCAGCGAGGCUGGCGUCCUGUCUUUAAAAUAAUGAAUUUAUAAUAAAAUCCGAUAUAUAUAUAGAUUAACUGU